rnacentral:rRNA from 1 species
CACGGGGGGAGCAAGCGUUGUUCGGAAUCACUGGGCGUAAAGAGCGCGCAGGCGGUCGUGCAAGUCGCGUGUGAAAGCCCCCGGCUCAACUGGGGAGGGUCACGCGAUACUGCUCGACUUGAAGGCAGGAGAGGGAAGUGGAAUUCCCGGUGUAGUGGUGAAAUGCGUAGAUAUCGGGAGGAACACCAGUGGCGAAGGCGACUUCCUGGCCUGUUCUUGACGCUGAGGCGCGAAAGCUAGGGUAGCAAACGGG